AGAGCAGAUCGUACGGUCGCGUUCCGACCAGUCGGAAUGAGGAAAGUCCGGACUCCAUAAGGCAAGGUGCUCGUUAAAAGCGAGGCGUCGCGAGGCGAUGGCAAGCGCCACAGAAAACAUACCAUCCUGAAAAUCGGGAUAAGGGUGAAAUUGUGAGGUAAGAGCUCACUUGGAUCAAUUGUAAAAUUCAUCCACGGCAAGCCCCACCUGGAGCAAGACCAAGCAGCGGAAAUGGAUUGAUCUCCAACGAUAUCGCCUGUGUCGUUAAUAUCCGCGGGUAGGUUGCUAGACUAUGACAGUAAUGCCACAGCUAGAUAGAUGACCGUCAAAACAGAAUUCGGCUUAUAGAUUUGCUCUUCAU
rnacentral:RNase_P_RNA from 2 species